rnacentral:rRNA from 1 species
CCUACGGGAGCAGCAGGGGUGAGUGGAAUUCCCGGUGUAGUGGUGAAAUGCGUAGAGAUCGGGAGGAACACCCGUGGCGAAGGCGGCUCACUGGGCUGACCUUGACGCUGAGGCGCGAAGGCGUGGGGAGCGAACGGGAUUAGAAACCCUUGUAGUCC